GGACCCGCACAAGCGGUGGAGCAUGUGGUUUAAUUCGAAGCAACGCGAAGAACCUUACCAAAUCUUGACAUCCUUUGACAACUCUAGAGAUAGAGCUUUCCCCUUCGGGGGACAAAGUGACAGGUGGUGCAUGGUUGUCGUCAGCUCGUGUCGUGAGAUGUUGGGUUAAGUCCCGCAACGAGCGCAACCCUUAAGCUUAGUUGCCAGCAUUAAGUUGGGCACUCUAAGUUGACUGCCGGUGACAAACCGGAGGAAGGUGGGG
rnacentral:rRNA from 1 species